rnacentral:rRNA from 1 species
CUUUUCAUCCAACACCUGUGAAUUUAAACAAACUUUGCUUUGGCUGUUUUCUUUUAGAAGCAGCCAACAAUCAAAACCCUUUUAUAAUUUGUUGUCUGAGUGAAGAAUAUUAAAAUUCAAAACUUUCAACAACGGAUCUCUUGGUUCUCGCAUCGAUGAAGAACGCAGCGAAACGCGAUAUGUAAUGUGAAUUGCAGAAUUUGUGAAUCAUCGAAUCUUUGAACGCACAUUGCGCCCUCUGGUAUUCCGGAGGGCAUACCUGUUUGAGCGUCAUUUCUUUCUCAAGCUUUAUGUUUGGUGUUGACAUGCUACCUUUAGGGGUAUAUGUUGAAAUACAUUGGCUAAGCAUUCUAGUAUUUUUACAACGUAUUAGGUUUUACCAACUCGUUGGGCAAAUUCUGGAAAAAACGCUGGGCGAUAGAACAGAAAUUAUAAAAUUUGACCUCAAAUCAGGCAGGACUACCCGCUGAACUUAAGCAUAUCAAUAAGCGGAGGA